UAACGGCCGCGGUAUCCUAACCGUGCAAAGGUAGCGUAAUCACUUGUCCCCUAAAUAGAGACCAGUAUGAACGGCUAAAUGAGGGCCUAACUGUCUCCUACAACUAAUCAAUGAAACUGAUCUUUCAGUACAAAAGCUGAAAUACAACCAUAAGACGAGAAGACCCUGCGGAGCUUUAAACAACACCACUAUUAAGCCCAACCACAAACCCAACAAACGGGUACACGCCACCCCCCACCUAGUGAUAGUUUUAAGUUGGGGCGACUGCGGAGUAAAAUAAAACCUCCAUGAAAAGGGCCCCCCCCCCCCAAGGUGAACACACCCAAGGAACAAAAAUAAUAUGACCCAGUAACACUGACCAUCGAACCAAGUUACCCCAGGGAUAACAGCGCCAUCCUCUUUAAGAGUCCCUAUCGCCAAGAGGGUUUACGACCUCGAUGUUGGAUCAGGACACCCAGGUGGUGCAGCCGCUACCAA
rnacentral:rRNA from 1 species